rnacentral:rRNA from 1 species
CUAAUACCGCAUACGAUCUCAGGAUGAAAGCAGGGGACCGCAAAGCCUUGCGCUCACGGAGCGGCCGAUGGCAGAUUAGGUAGUUGGUGGGAUAAAAGCUUACCAAGCCGACGAUCUGUAGCUGGUCUGAGAGGACGACCAGCCACACUGGGACUGAGACACGGCCCAGACUCCUACGGGAGGCAGCAGUGGGGAAUUUUGGACAAUGGGCGCAAGCCUGAUCCAGCCAUGCCGCGUGCAGGAUGAAGGCCUUCGGGUUGUAAACUGCUUUUGUACGGAACGAAAAGACUCUGGUUAAUACCUGGGGUCCAUGACGGUACCGUAAGAAUAAGCACCGGCUAACUACGUGCCAGCAGCCGCGGUAAUACGUAGGGUGCGAGCGUUAAUCGGAAUUACUGGGCGUAAAGCGUGCGCAGGCGGUUAUGUAAGACAGAUGUGAAAUCCCCGGGCUCAACCUGGGAACUGCAUUUGUGACUGCAUAGCUAGAGUACGGCAGAGGGGGAUGGAAUUCCGCGUGUAGCAGUGAAAUGCGUAGAUAUGCGGAGGAACACCGAUGGCGAAGGCAAUCCCCUGGGCCUGUACUGACGCUCAU